GCAAAUUAUAGGCAUGCGAAGAAAGAAUAGGUUCGGCCUUUUCUUUUACACUCGAACCAGGUGUCUUCGUCAAUUGCCCCUGCGGACCAGUCGUCUGUGUCAGCUAGUGGAGCCUUGGGCAGCCGCUUCACCAGUCGAGGUUUCAGUAGCAGACAACAUACUACGGCCUGAUACCACCAACGCAGCUGUUGGGUCUUUGGAGUCUAUUCUAAGCCUCUACCGGACUCUAAGUAUGCCGCUUCACCGGAAACAGACGUAGAUCAUCAACCGCCGAACGGAUAUCUCUAUCGCAGCCAUCCUUGAGUGACUUAAAUUUAAAGCCAAACUGUACAUUUUCUUAGGUUUUGCCAAUAUUUGAGAGCAUGGAUAUCUGACGGAUAUCUACUGAUGCUGACAAACUUUGAGGUUUGUCAAAAAAAAACAAGAUGUGGGCGCCACAUAAUAAUACAGGUUGGUUACCAAAACGCAAAUGAAUUUACAAAUACUGACAUGGGACUUUGGUCAAUGAAACGUCAAAAUUUGCUGUGCUGUCAAAAAUCUUACUCAAAAAUUAUUCACCACAUUUAACGUCAUAUUUUUACUAUUCCUACAACUUGCUUUCAUUGCAAAAAAUAUACAAUUUUUUUAAAUGAUAAAAUUGUAA
rnacentral:sRNA from 1 species